rnacentral:rRNA from 1 species
AUUGAACGCUGGCGGAAUGCUUUACACAUGCAAGUCGAACGGCAACACGGACUUCGGUCUGGUGGCGAGUGGCGAACGGGUGAGUAAUGUAUCGGAACGUGCCCAGUCGUGGGGGAUAACGUAGUGAAAAUUACGCUAAUACCGCAUACGAUCUAUGGAUGAAAGCGGGGGAUCGCAAGACCUCGCGCGAUUGGAGCGGCCGAUAUCAGAUUAGGUAGUUGGUGGGGUAAAGGCCCACCAAGCCAACGAUCUGUAGCUGGUCUGGGAGGACGACCAGCCACACUGGAACUGAGACACGGGCCAGACUCCUACGGGAGGCAGCAUUGUGGAAUUUUGGACAAUGGGCGAAAGCCUGAUCCAGCCAUUCCGCGUGCAGGAUGAAGGCCCUCGGGUUGUAAACUGCUUUUGUACAGAACGAAAAGGUUUCUACUAAUACUAGGAGCUCAUGACGGCACUGUAAGAAUAAGCACCGGCUAACUACGUGCCAGCAGCCGCCGCCG